rnacentral:rRNA from 1 species
UACGAAGGGGGCUAGCGUUGCUCGGAAUCACUGGGCGUAAAGGGUGCGUAGGCGGGUCUUUAAGUCAGGGGUGAAAUCCUGGAGCUCAACUCCAGAACUGCCUUUGAUACUGAAGAUCUUGAGUUCGGGAGAGGUGAGUGGAACUGCGAGUGUAGAGGUGAAAUUCGUAGAUAUCAGGAAGAACACCGAUGGCGAAGGCAGCUCGCUGGGACGGUACUGACGCUGAGGCGCGAAAGCGUGGGGAGCAAACAGG